rnacentral:rRNA from 1 species
CGGACGGGUGAGUAAUGCUUGGGAAUCUGGCUUAUGGAGGGGGAUAACUACGGGAAACUGUAGCUAAUACCGCGUAAUAUCUUCGGAUUAAAGGGUGGGACCGUAAGGCCACCUGCCAUAAGAUGAGCCCAAGUGGGAUUAGGUAGUUGGUGGGGUAAAGGCCUACCAAGCCGACGAUCUCUAGCUGGUCUGAGAGGAUGACCAGCCACACUGGAACUGAGACACGGUCCAGACUCCCUACGGAGGCAGCAGUGGGGAAUAUUGCACAAUGGGGGGAACCCUGAUGCAGCCAUGCCGCGUGAAUGAAGAAGGGCUUCCGGUUGUAAAGUUCUUUCCGUGAUGAAGAAGGCGGUUGGUUUAAUAGAACAAUCGAUUGACGUUAGUCACAGAAGAAGCACCGGCUAACUCCGUGCCAGCAGCCGCGGUAAUACGGAGGGUGCGAGCGUUAAUCCGAAUGACUGGGCGUAAAGGGCACGCAGGCGGUGACUUAAGUGAGAUGUGAAAGCCCCGGGCUUAACCUGGGAAUUGCAUUUCAUACUGGGUCGCUAGAGUAUUU